rnacentral:rRNA from 1 species
CCUACGGGAGGCAGCAGUGAGGAAUAUUGGUCAAUGGGCGCGAGCCUGAACCAGCCAAGUCGCGUGAGGGAUGACGGUCCUACGGAUUGUAAACCUCUUUUGCCGGGGAGCAAGCGUGCGUUCGUGAACGCGCGUCGAGAGUACCCGGAGAAAAAGCAUCGGCUAACUCCGUGCCAGCAGCCGCGGUAAUACGGAGGAUGCGAGCGUUAUCCGGAUUUAUUGGGUUUAAAGGGUGCGUAGGCGGGAUGCCAAGUCAGCGGUAAAAAUGCGGUGCUCAACGCCGUCGAGCCGUUGAAACUGGCGUUCUUGAGUGGGCGAGAAGUAUGCGGAAUGCGUGGUGUAGCGGUGAAAUGCAUAGAUAUCACGCAGAACUCCGAUUGCGAAGGCAGCAUACCGGCGCCCUACUGACGCUGAGGCACGAAAGCGUGGGUAUCGAACAGGAUUAGAUACCCCAGUAGUC